rnacentral:lncRNA from 1 species
AUCAGACACCAUGCCACCAAUACCUGGAGGAACAACCACAACAUCAGACACCAUUUCAACAAUACUGUACAUACAAAGACAUGGGACUGCAACACACUACCAUUAUAUCUCUUACAGCGGUGUCACGUUAAGCAGGCAGCAACGGACUGAAUGCAGAUAGAAAGGCAACGAAUAGAGCAGAAGUGAUUUGUUAUUCUAUGAGGGGGGAGAAACUGAAUUGGUUUGUAGUGUAGAUUAUGUGUGGUGUGUAUUGUGUGUAGGUAGCGUGUUACAGGCAAGGCUAUAUGUCUGUGUGAUUUAGUGUCCAUGGUAACCCAGAAUAGACAGAUCACCUUCAUCUUUCUUCUCCUCCUUAGCUCCUCCUCCGAUCAUCUCUCCCACCUUCUCCUUCACCACAACAGCUAGACAGAGGGAGAGAGGGGGGCUGUCAAACAUGCACUCGCACCUUCUGGCUCCACAUGAUGAGAUAAUUGGUGGAUUUUUCUCUUGUUAUGUCUUGUUAGGGAGCUUGUAUCAGCAAGAACUGUCAUGACGGGAUGCCACAGAAUCUUUGUAUAUUUUUCCAUUUCUAGUAGAAAUUAGCUCCUCUACUUUGAAAUCUAGACAAACCCAAAUAACUAAUUUUAGAAGUAUGAGCAGUGCCAAAAAGUACAGAGCCAAGUUUUUCAAAAAUGAAAAUAUUUGGUGUAAGAAUGUUGUUGACUCAUCAACUGCAGCGCCGUUUAAAAUUCCAAAGCCCAGUUUGAACAUUUUGAAGGCUGAUAACACAAAAAUGAACACUAAAUUAAAGCUAAACUAUACAUUAGUCUAUAUAACAACCCAUUUUGCUGUGCUUUAGGGUUUAAACUUAUCAAUGCUUCACAUGAAUGACCCCCAUCAUUCAACCAAGUAAACACACCAUUAUCCACUUUUCUUACACAUAUCUUUUUCUCACCUGCUUUGUCGAUCACUGCAUCCACCUGCUUCCCAGAUCCUUUCAGAAAGUCCAUCUCUGUGUGUGUUCUGUACUCGGCCGGAGUGUGUGUGUGAGAGAGUGUGUUUGGAUGGGUGUGUGGUGUGGGUGUGCAUGGGUUUAUAUGAGGUUGGCAGAGAGGCUUACAGAGGCCACCCCUCCAUCACACACCCCUGUGAAGUCACACACACCCCUAAGGAUGCAGGCCGCUUUUAUUGUUGGUGUCAGUAUGGAAAAACCCAGCAGUGGAACUGUAAAUACCGAAGAGGGAGAGAGGCUUCAUAACUUUAUUACGACCCUCAAUUAAACAUUGUUAGAACAAAUAUGAUAUACAGAUACAUGCAACACAUAGGCACACAACCCUUAUUCAGGUCAUAAUUAUCCAUUAUGUGAAGAUGCACAUAAUAUAGUACAUUAUUACAGAUGUAGGAUCUUAAUUUGAUCGCCCUGUUGCAGGAGAACUUUGCUGCAAUGCAGGGCAUUUUUUACCUGUAGUGUACUUGAGGUUUGAAAACGCUUCUGAAGUUUGUAAUUUCCACUUAGAAAUUUCAGUCUUGAUUUCCCCAUUGUCGUUAAUUAUAAUAAUCCACAUAAUAAUUCACCUUUCUUUUGGACUUUGUAGCAUUCCCAGAAAGCAUGGAUUAGUGAGUCAAUGCUAUAAAGUCCAAAAGUUAUGGGUGGAGCUAGAAAGUUCGCUGUCAGAUGUAUUACAAUGUAAACGUACUUUUAAUCCGUCUGCCUGCAUAUUUUAAGACAUAGCGAAUAGGAGUGUAGUGAGAUUCCCAACGGGCUGGACGAUUCUCUUCUCAUCACUCAUCUAGAAAAAAAACGUAUACUAAUGACCUGGAUAUCAAUCAAUCCUCCAUCAUUAACACAAUAGAAAAAAUCGAAUGAUUUAUUAUUGAAAUAGCAUGGGCAACUGAGAAAAACUAAUUGGGACAAUUUAAGGCCAUAUGGCAAACAAUAAUGCAAGCAGUAGGGAUGGGGGUGUGAGCAUGUGGGUCUGGGCAGAUGAGAUGUAAUCGUUGUUCGUGUGCAUCUGUAAGUUGUUGUUCGUGUGUUUAUGUUUUUAACUGGUUAAUAACAUUUUUUAUAAAAAACAGUAUAGUAAAGUAUAAAAAAUUAUUAUAAUAAUUAUUAUAAUAAUUCACAUUUCCUGUUGCUUCAGGAUUAUUUUCAUGUUGUAGCAAACUGGCUCAAAUUAAGAUCCUACAUCUGUAGAUGUAUGGGAAACAGGAAAUACUGGAUGUGAUGUCCUGAAAGGUCACCAAGCUUUCUGACUCACUGUCAAAACACUGCUAUAAAAGCAGACACAAAGACACAACAUUUGACAUAGCACGCACUCCUUCUUAUGACAGCCCUCUCUCAUUGUGUUGUUGGCCCUAGAUUGCUGCUCUGUGUUUGUGUGGAUUCCUUAGGAGUGUUGGCUGUGUGUGUGUGUCUCCAUUCAACCCUUGGAAAGACACUCCUCUGUUUCAAUGUGUUCUGGCAUUGGAUCAGAGAGUGUGUGUAGAGCAGUUUGGAAAUCUCGUGGUUAGAAUGGAACAUUGGGCUGGUGAUAUGUCGUCCCGAAGGAUCAUUUAAAACACUAAGACUGGGAGUUCUAGAACACUGACGCAAGAGGUUCUAGGUUGACUUUUUGUUUUCUUCCUGACCUCUCUUGAACCCUUUCACAAGUAUCGUCAUUGUGUUGAAGGGAGGACCAAUACGCAGCGGGAAUGUGGAUACUCAUCUUUUUAAUCAAACACGAGAAAAGCAUCCACAGGGAAAAAACAAUAAACAUUACUCACGACGGCAACAGUGUAGCAGGCUAUACAAACGCAGUGCUCACAAACAAUUACCCACAAACACACAGACAAACACACCCUACUAAUAUAGGACUCCCAAUCAAAGGCAACUCAACACACCUGCCUUCAAUUGGGAGUCCCACCCCAAUUAACUAUACAUAGAAAACCAAAGCUAGACAGAACGUAGACACACAUACCAAAACACAAAAACCUCUGCCACGCCCUGACCAAAACUAAUACAAUUACUCCCUCUGCUGGUCAGGACGUGACAACCCCUCUGUCUCCCUGUAAGCUCCCAGCAUGCCGAUGGAGGUAGUGUCCUCAUAGUGUACCUGUAGAGGAGAACAAAGAGCCUGGCUAAACCCCUGUGAGUGCACACGCACGCACGCACGCUCGCACACACAGAAAACAUUGCUAAGACUGGCAGAGGGCAUAGAAAAAUAUCCAGGAUGGUACCACAAUAUCUCCAUGGUAACAUA